UACGGGGGGGGCAAGCGUUGUUCGGAAUUACUGGGCGUAAAGGGCUCGUAGGCGGCCAACUAAGUCCGACGUGAAAUCCCCAGGCUUAACCUGGGAACUGCGUCGGAUACUGGUUGGCUUGAAUCCGGGAGAGGGAUGUGGAAUUCCAGGUGUAGCGGUGAAAUGCGUAGAUAUCUGGAGGAACACCGGUGGCGAAGGCGACAUCCUGGACCGGUAUUGACGCUGAGGCGCGAAAGCCAGGGGAGCAAACGGG
rnacentral:rRNA from 1 species